ensembl:lncRNA
GUGUUCUGGUGCGGGGCGUGCGGGGGUCGACGAGCGGGUGGAGGGGCGGACGGGCUGGCUGGACUGAACCGGCUAGCGGAAGCCGCGCCCGGGCUGCGGUCGGCGGCGCGGAGGGAAACUCGGGACGGCCUCCUCAGUUGCCUCGGGCCCUGCCCUGAGAGGUCCCGAGACCUUUAGGGGCUGAGGAGGGAGCCUCUUCGGCAGCCGGCAAGUCGCGGUCGGCGCGUGGGGCGCCGCGAACAAGCGCGGAAGCCUCAGUGUUCUGAGCCAGGGGAGGGCGCGGGGGAGCCCCGAGGCUGGCAGGGGGCGGGCCCCCCUGUCCUGAGCCUCCGCUAGGCUGCCCCGCGCGACCGUCUGGAUGCGCGAGUCGGGAAGCCCCUCUGCGCUUCCCAGAGUCCGUUUCCGACAAGAAUGAUGCUUUUUAUGUAACUGGGGCUCAGCAACCAUUGAAUGAAUUGAAUAUGUACCUGAAAAAGAGCGUCGGGACUUAAGGUCAAAAGACCUGAUGUGCCUCAAGAAGAGGAAAACAGGGACUUCCCUGGUGGUCCAAUGGCUAAGACACCUCGCUCCCGAUGCAGGGGCCCGGGGUUCCAUCCCUGGUCAGGGAACCAGAUCCCACGUGCUGCACCUGAGACCUGGUACAGCCAAGUAUUUCACGUCCACUGGGUUAUCUCCUUACCAUACCUGAAUUUUGAUGUGAUCAACAAUUCAGAAAGAAUCUAUAAAAUUAAUCUGAAGAUAUACAAAUGGCAACGCAGAUGUGUUUCAGCUGCUGUGGUAUACUGCAUCCCGUUAUUAUAAUCAAACUGUU